rnacentral:tRNA from 1 species
GCCUGGAGGGCUCAGUUGGUUGAGCAUCUGACUUUAGCUCAGACCAUGAUCUCACAGUUCGUGGAUUCAAGCCCUGCAUCGGGCU